AAUCAACGCUGGCGGCGUGCCUAAUACAUGCAAGUCGAACGCGAAAGCCCCGCAAGGGGCAAGUAGAGUGGCAAACGGGUGAGUAACGCGUGGGCGACCUACCUUCGAGUGGGGGAUAACCUUCCGAAAGGAGGGCUAAUACCGCAUGACAUCCCGUGUUUAGAUACACGGACAUCAAAGUCGGGGAUCGCAAGACCUGACGCUUGGAGAGGGGCCCGCGUCCGAUUAGCUAGUUGGUGGGGUAACGGCCCACCAAGGCUUCGAUCGGUAUCCGGCCUGAGAGGGCGGACGGACACACUGGGACUGAGACACGGCCCAGACUCCUACGGGAGGCAGCAGUAGGGAAUUGUUCGCAAUGGGCGCAAGCCUGACGACGCAACGCCGCGUGG
rnacentral:rRNA from 1 species